AAACAGUCCCCUAUGUUUUGAUUUUUUGGCAGUUUUGGACCCCCAGUCCAUUGUUGACUCGGUCAACGCUGACGUGGCACCCUAAGUGAGGUGCCACAUGUCAAUUUUAUUUUUAUUUUUUUGCCUUGGGGGUCCAAAACUGCUAAAGAAUCAAAACAUAGGGGGCUGUUU
rnacentral:pre_miRNA from 1 species